GACGUAGGGGGCGAGCGUUGUCCGGAAUCAUUGGGCGUAAAGCGCGUGUAGGCGGCCCGGUAAGUCCGCUGUGAAAGUCCAGGGCUCAACCCUGGGAUGCCGGUGGAUACUGUCGGGCUCGAGUCCGGAAGAGGAGUGUGGAAUUCCUGGUGUAGCGGUGAAAUGCGCAGAUAUCAGGAGGAACACCAAUGGCGAAGGCAGCACUCUGGGACGUGACUGACGCUGAGACGCGAAAGCGUGGGGAGCAAACAGG
rnacentral:rRNA from 1 species